GGUUAGUUCCCUUGGUAUCCUUCCAGUCAGUCUGUUGCCGUUCAGUCUCCUGCAUGGACGUAACGUGACCCAUCAGGCAUCGGACAAAACCCAGACCCAAGGUAUACGUUAAAGGCGUGAAGGAACUGUCACUAGACACUAGUAACCAAUGGCCAAUAAUUGAAAAGAGCGAGAAAAAUCCUUACAGGAAUUUGAGACUGGAAAGCUUGGAGAGGGAAGCAGGGAUAGACCCAGUGAGAUUAUUGUGGUAGAGGUCCAAGCUCACCAGGUUCCUCAGGUUUCCAAGCUCCUUUGGUAUAGGACCCACCAGCUCAUUCAUGUACAGCUCCCUUUACAGUCGACACAAACCAACCAAAUUAAAUGUUGAACAUAACAUACAGUAAUCAGCUAUUGCUUUCAGGCAUAUGGGACCUAUAUUCAUAAGAAACAAAAUUACAAACAUUCCGUAUGAAAAUCCAAUAUAAGUUUCCUAUGCUGGCGUAUUGAUACCCGCAUCUACAAGAGCUUAUACAAUGAGAUAGUGAGGGGCAGGGCUAGGAUAUAAACCGACUAAGCCACUUGCAAGUUGCUUAAGAUUUAGCUUAAUUGUUUAUUUAAUGAGUUGAGCAGGAACUUAAUUUUUAGAAUCAUUUACUAAGUAAGUCAAAUUUGAACUUAUUGUUAAGUUUGUUUAGGUUUGUCUAUUAACUUAUUUUAACUUAUUUAUAAGUUCAUGAGUAAAUUCAUUUAUAAGUUUGUGAAUCAA
rnacentral:misc_RNA from 1 species